CCAUGAUUCCUUGAUCGGGGUUCUUUGAUUUUCAUGUCUAUUAUGCUUUAUAGGGCUAAUUGUUCAUCGCUCAUGUGAUAUUCUACUGAUUUGUGCAUCUAUGUGUAUCCAUGAUUUGUAUAUGAUUUUCCUCAGACGUUUUACACUGAUUUCUUUUGAAUAACUUCCUUAUUUAGAUAUGAUUUCCUUACUUAUAAGCAUUCCCUCUGAUUUUUGGUUUUGUCCAUGAUUCUUUGACUGAUUGACAGAAUUAAUUUGUAUUCCCUUACCAUAUUUGUGCAUAAAUAGGCUUUCAAAAUCGUCAGCAUAUAUUUUCCUUACUUGAAUUAUUAUGUACCUAAC
rnacentral:lncRNA from 1 species